UCAGAUUCCGUACUUUUCCGAUGGAUUUUCCUAAAAUUGUGUUACAUAAGCACCUUCUCCUGAGAAUUACGAAUAGAACAAAAAAAAGAAUUAGCGAAAUCGGUCUAGCCAUUCACGCGUGAUGUGACUACCAAGGGAAACAGGGAGCCGUUUUUAUAUACAUAAAUUUACUAUAUUUAUUCUAUUCGAUCAUCACUUUCGAUACGUUUGGGUAAAGGCCCCCUGGACAUAUUAUUAAAUGACAUAGCGUAACUUUACAUAUAUUUGCUAGAAGUACUUUUUUACUUAGGAAUAGUUUCACUUUGAUAUUUAUCGAGGUCGUCGUCGAGACUACCCCUAAACAAGACGUUUUUGUAGUUGGUUUUCAAAUAAGAUUUGUCGUUUCGUUUGUUAGACCAUUUGUGCACCCCAGACACUCGAUUAUCACCAUUAAAAAGUACCA